GAGUAAAGAUUUCGGUCGCUUUGGGAGGAGCUCGCUUACUAUCAGCUUGUUGGUAGGGUAAUGGCCUACCAAGGCUAUGACGGUUAGGGGGUGUGAGAGCAUGACCCCCAGCAUUGGCACUGAAACACUGGCCAAACACCUACGGGUGGCUGCAGUCGAGAAUCUUCCACAAUGGGGGAAACCCUGAUGGAGCGAUGCUGCGUGCGGGAUGAAGGCCUUCGGGUUGUAAACCGCUUUUGUAGGGGACGAAAUUUUUGACGGUACCCUUUCGAAUAAGAGGUUGCUAACUCUGUGCCAGCAGCAGCGGUAAUACAGAGACCUCAAGCGUUAUCCGGAUUUACUGGGCGUAAAGCGUCUGUAGGGGGUUUAUUAAGUUCCAAGUAAAAUUUCAAGGCUCAACUUUGAAUUCGCUUGGAAAACUAAUAAACUGGAGUCUAGCAGAGGUGCAUGGAACUUGUGGUGUAGGAGUGAAAUCCGUUGAUAUCACAAGGAACACCAAAGGCGAAGGCAUUGCACUGGGCUAGCACUGACCCUGAGAGACGAAAGCGUGGGGAGCAAAACGGAUUAGAUACCCGUGUAGUCCACGCCCUAAACGAUGAAUGCUAAAUGUUCGGGGAUUCGACCCCCUGGGUGUUACAGCUAACGCGUUAAGCAUUCCGCCUGGGAAGUACGGCCGCAAGGCUAAAACUCAAAGGAAUAGACGGGGAUCCGCACAAGCGGUGGAGCGUCUGGUUUAAUUCGACAGUAAGCGUGGUACCUCACCAGGGUUUGACAUCCCUUGACAGCCUUGGAAACAAGGUUUCCUUCGGGCAAGGUGACAGGUGCUGCAUGGUCGUCGUCAGUUCGUGCCGUGAGGUGUUCCGUUAAGUCGGGAAACGAACGAAACCCCUAUUGCAUGUUACAAUUUCUCAUGCAAGACUGCCCGGAUAUACUGGGAGGAAGGUGGGGAUGACGUCAGAUCUGCAUGGUCCUUAUACCCUGGGCGACACAGGCGCUACAAUGGCAGAGACAAAGGGUUGCAAAACCGCAAGGUGAAGCUAAUCCCAAAAACUUUGUCUAAGUUCGGAUUGAAGGCUGCAAUUCGCCUUCAUGAAGCUGGAAUCGCUAGUAAUCGUGAAUCAGCCACGUCACGGUGAAUAUGUUCCCGGAUCUUGUACUCACCGCCCGUCACACCA
rnacentral:rRNA from 1 species